GCGUCGGUGGCACAGCGGUUAGGACGUUCGCCAACCAUGCACAUGGUCCAGGGUUCGAUUCCCUGCCGACGCA
rfam:Trichobilharzia regenti genome assembly, scaffold: TRE_scaffold0006733